rnacentral:rRNA from 1 species
GGUUAAGUUAACAAGGGCGCAUGGUGAAUGCCUUGGCACUAGGAGCCGAUGAAGGACGGGACUAACACCGAUAUGCUUCGGGGAGCUGUACGUAAGCUAUGAUCCGGAGAUUUCCGAAUGGGGCAACCCAGCAGUUUUAAUCAACUGUUACCACUAGAUGAAUUCAUAGUCUAGUUGGAGGUAAACGCUGUGAACUGAAACAUCUCAUUAGCAGCAGGAAUAUAAAGAAAUUUCGAUUCCCUAAGUAGCGGCGAGCGAACGGGGAACAGCCCAAACCAAAGUGCUUGCACUUUGGGGUUGUAGGACUGAACAUUUGAGUUACCAAAGAACUUGAUAGUCGAAGGAUUUGGGAAAAUCCGCCAUAGAUGGUGAUAGCCCAGUAGAUUAAAUCAAAUUCUCUCAGUUCAGGAUCCUGAGUACGGCGGAACACGUGAAAUUCCGUCGGAAUCCGGGAGGACCAUCUCCCAAGGCUAAAUACUACCUAGUGACCGAUAGUGAACCAGUACCGUGAGGGAAAGGUGAAAAGCACCCCGGGAGGGGAGUGAAAUAGUUCCUGAAACCAUGUGCCUACAAUAAGUCAGAGCGCGUUAAUGCGUGAUGGCGUGCCUUUUGUAGAAUGAACCGGCGAGUUAUGAUCCCGUGCAAGGUUAAGACUAAAAAGUCGGAGCCGUAGCGAAAGCGAGUCUGAAAUGGGCGAUUUGAGUACGAGGUUAUAGACCCGAAACCAGGUGACCUAUCCAUGUCCAGGUUGAAGGUGCGGUAAAACGCACUGGAGGACCGAACCCGUGUAAGUUGAAAAUUGCUGGGAUGAGGUGUGGAUAGCGGUGAAAUUCCAAACGAACUUGGAGAUAGCUGGUUCUCUCCGAAAUAGCUUUAGGGCUAGCCUCGGAUUAAGGAUCAUGGAGGUAGAGCACUAUUUGGACUAGGGGCCCGUCUUGGGUUACUGAAUUCAGAUAAACUCCGAAUGCCAUUGAUUCAUGUCCGGGAGUCAGACGAUGAGUGAUAAGAUCCACCGUCGAAAGGGGAACAGCCCAGACCAUCAGUUAAGGUCCCUAAAUGUAUGCUAAGUGGAAAAGGAUGUGGAGUUGCAUAGACAACUAGGAUGUUGGCUCAGAAGCAGCCACCAUUUAAAGAGUGCGUAAUAGCUCACUAGUCGAGUGAUCCUGCGCCGAAAAUGUACCGGGGCUAAGCAUACUACCGAAACCAUGGAUGCGACCAUUAGGUCGCGUGAUAGGAGAGCGUUCUAAGGGCGGUGAAGCAAGAUCGUGAGGACUUGUGGAGCGCUUAGAAGUGAGAAUGCCGGUAUGAGUAGCGAAAGAUAGGUGAGAAUCCUAUCCACCGAAUGACUAAGGUUUCCUGGGGAAGGCUCGUCCUCCCAGGGUUAGUCGGGACCUAAGUCGAGGCCGAGAGGCGUAGACGAUGGAUAACAGGUUGAGAUUCCUGUACUAGUUAAGUGCGUUUGAGCAAUGGAGGGACGCAGGAGGCUAAGAUGUGCAUUCUGUUGGAUUAGAAUGUCCAAGCAGUAAGUCUUGUGGAGAGUCAAAUGCUUUUCACUCUAAGGACAAGCUGUGAUGGGGAGCGAAAUUUAGUAGCGAAGCGUCUGAUGUCACACUGCCGAGAAAAGCUUCUAGUGAGUACUUAACUACCCGUACCGCAAACCGACACAGGUAGUCGAGGAGAGAAUCCUAAGGUGAGCGAGUGAACUCUCGUUAAGGAACUCGGCAAAAUGACCCCGUAACUUCGGGAGAAGGGGUGCUGAUCGCAAGAUCAGCCGCAGUGAAUAGGCCCAGGCGACUGUUUAUCAAAAACACAGGUCUCUGCAAAAUCGUAAGAUGACGUAUAGGGGCUGACGCCUGCCCGGUGCUGGAAGGUUAAAAGGAUGGGUUAGCUUCGGCGAAGCUCAGAAUUGAAGCCCCAGUAAACGGCGGCCGUAACUAUAACGGUCCUAAGGUAGCGAAAUUCCUUGUCGGGUAAGUUCCGACCCGCACGAAAGGCGUAACGAUCUGGGCACUGUCUCAACGAGAGACUCGGUGAAAUUAUAUUGUCCGUGAAGAUGCGGACUACCCGCGACAGGACGGAAAGACCCCAUGGAGCUUUACUGUAGCUUGAUAUUGAGUGUUUGUACAGCUUGUACAGGAUAGGUAGGAGCCAUAGAAACCGGAACGCUAGUUUCGGUGGAGGCGUUGGUGGGAUACUACCCUCGCUGUAUGACCACUCUAACCCGCACCACUAAUCGUGGUGGGAGACAGUGUCAGGUGGGCAGUUUGACUGGGGCGGUCGCCUCCUAAAAAGUAACGGAGGCGCCCAAAGGUUCCCUCAGAAUGGUUGGAAAUCAUUCGCAGAGUGUAAAGGCACAAGGGAGCUUGACUGCGAGACAGACAGGUCGAGCAGGGACGAAAGUCGGGCUUAGUGAUCCGGUGGUACCGUAUGGAAGGGCCAUCGCUCAACGGAUAAAAGCUACCCUGGGGAUAACAGGCUUAUCUCCCCCAAGAGUCCACAUCGACGGGGAGGUUUGGCACCUCGAUGUCGGCUCAUCGCAUCCUGGGGCUGUAGUCGGUCCCAAGGGUUGGGCUGUUCGCCCAUUAAAGCGGUACGCGAGCUGGGUUCAGAACGUCGUGAGACAGUUCGGUCCCUAUCCGUCGCGGGCGUAGGAAAUUUGAGAGGACCUGUCCUUAGUACGAGAGGACCGGGAUGGACAUACCUCUGGUGUACCAGUUGUGCCGCCAGGCGCAUCGCUGGGUAGCUACGUAUGGAUGUGAUAAACGCUGAAAGCAUCUAAGUGUGAAACACACCUCGAGAUGAGAUUUCCCAUUCCUUUAUGGAAGUAAGACCCCUGAAAGAUGAUCAGGUAGAUAGGUUAGAAGUGGCAGUGCGGUGACGCAUGAAGCGGACUAAUACUAAUCGGUCGAGGACUUAACCAA